UACGUAGGGUGCAAGCGUUGUCCGGAAUUAUUGGGCGUAAAGAGCUUGUAGGCGGUUUGUCGCGUCUGCUGUGAAAUUUCGGGGCUCAACCCCGAACUUGCAGUGGGUACGGGCAGACUAGAGUGUGGUAGGGAGACUGGAAUUCCUGGUGUAGCGGUGAAAUGCGCAGAUAUCAGGAGGAACACCGAUGGCGAAGGCAGGUCUCUGGCCACUACUGACGCUGAGAAGCGAAAGCAUGGGAGCGAACAGG
rnacentral:rRNA from 1 species